rnacentral:rRNA from 1 species
UACAGAGGUCUCAAGCGUUGUUCGGAUUCAUUGGGCGUAAAGGGUGCGUAGGUGGCGCCGUAAGUCGGGUGUGAAAUUUCGGAGCUUAACUGCGAAACUGCAUUCGAUACUGCGGUGCUUGAGGACUGGAGAGGAGACUGGAAUUCAUGGUGUAGCAGUGAAAUGCGUAGAGAUCAUGAGGAAGACCAGUGGCGAAGGCGGGUCUCUGGACAGUUCCUGACACUGAGGCACGAAGGCCAGGGGAGCAAACGGG